GAGCUAUCAAGAUAGGGGUGUGAACCUUUUGGGUAGGGGCGUGUUUGUUUUGGUGAUUUCAAAUAUCAACAGUGAUAGUCAGAAUGGCU